UACAGAGGUCCCAAGCGUUGUUCGGAUUCAUUGGGCGUAAAGGGUGCGUAGGCGGCGCGGUAAGUCGGGUGUGAAAUCUCGGGGCUUAACUCCGAAACUGCAUUCGAUACUGUCGUGCUUGAGGACUGGAGAGGAGACUGGAAUUUACGGUGUAGCGGUGAAAUGCGUAGAUAUCGUAAGGAAGACCAGUGGCGAAGGCGGGUCUCUGGACAGUUUCUGACGCUGAGGCACGAAGGCCAGGGGAGCAAACGGG
rnacentral:rRNA from 1 species